rnacentral:rRNA from 1 species
UACGGAGGGUGCAAGCGUUAUCCGGAUUCACUGGGUUUAAAGGGUGCGUAGGUGGGCAUGUAAGUCAGUGGUGAAAUCUCCGUGCUUAACAUGGAAACUGCCAUUGAUACUAUGUUUCUUGAAUUUUCUGGAGGUCAGCGGAAUAUGUCAUGUAGCGGUGAAAUGCUUAGAUAUGACAUAGAACACCAAUUGCGAAGGCAGCUGACUACAGGGAUAUUGACACUGAGGCACGAAAGCGUGGGGAUCAAACAGG